GCUGAGUUUGUGGCGCGCUUAGUGAUGGGAUGGCCCUGUGCAGGACGCCGACACGAAAAGAUGAAGAGUUCAAUCCGUGCUGUCUGAACUCACAGUGUAGCAGGCGAGAUAGACGGGAAGAUCGGUAGGGUGGGAGAUGCCGGAAAGGCUUCCCGUGAGACUGGAUAAGAAAUCAAAAAUCUGGUGAAAUUGCCGGCAAGAGGGAGUUAAGGACAUUCCAGGCAGAGGCAAGGUAAAGGCGCGGUGGGAGUGGGUCACUGUGAUAAAAGUCUGAAAAGGACAUUUGGGGGCUCUCUUGGGUGAGAGGCAGUGCCUCAUGUCCCCCCUUCAGUGCUCGUUGAGCAUUCAAUUAAAAUGUUAACACUUUGUAGCCAAACAAGUUCUCUUUUUAAGAGGAAAACCCUGGAUUUCCAAACGGCUCAUUUUCUGUAGCUUCUUGCAAAUGGAUACCACCACCAGCUGUGCCUAGUGAAAAAAUGCAAUUUACCAGGACCACUACUCUCAACAGUUUGCUCAAUCCAUUUAACCUUUUGAAUAUUUGUCCACUUCUUUUUAUCUCUGUUGGCACCUCCUCCCUUGUCCCAUAUUGUACCUGUAGUUCUACAACUGGUCUGGGGAUUCAUUCUGCCCCAACUCCCUGAAAUCCAUUUUCCGUGUCGUAGGAACGGAACUUUUGAAAAUGUAAAUCAUUACAUUUAAAGCAGUACUGCUGUACUGCUUUAAACUCUCCCUUCGCUUCCCAUUGUUUUAGGAUGAAAUUCGAACUCCUUAUGAAGUCCCUGCCUACUUCCCUAGCCUCACCUUGCUCAGUCUCUCCUUUGAGCUCCGUGCAUAGGAUCAUUUUUUCAAUUUCUCAAAUGCCGUGUGUACCUUGCCAUCUCCAGGCCUUUACAUUUGCUAGUCUCUUUGUAUGGUACUCCUUUUCUUCUUCCAGUUACUUUCUACUCACCCUUCAAGGCUUUAAGUAUUUUAUUCUCAAGAAAGCCUUCCAGCCCCCUACCCCCAUACUAGACCAAUCCCCUACUGUGUGCUCACGGCAGUCUAUACUUUCUUAUGACACGGUUCACAUUUGUAAUUACACAAUAAUUGUGUAAGUUUAUUGUAUCCUCAUUGCCUGGUACAUCCUUGGUGCUCACUGCGUAUUUGUUUUUUUGUUUUGUUUUGUUUUGUUUUUUGAGAAGGAGUUUGGCUCUUGUCGCCCAGGCUGGAGUGCAAUGGCGCGAUCUCGGCUCACUGCAACCUCUGCGUCCCGGGUUCAAGCGAUUCUUCUGCCUCAGCCGCCCAAGUAGCUGAGAUUACAGGCGCCCGCCACCGCGCCCGGCUAGAUUUUGUAUUUUUAGUAGUGAUGGGAUAUCGCCAUGUUGGCCAGGUUGGUCUCAAACUCCUGAGUUAGGCGAUCCGCCCACCUCUUCCCUCCAAAGUGCUGGGAUUACAGGCGUGAGCCACCGCGCCUGGCCCUCGUAUUUGUUAAGUAAAUGAAGAAUAAGUACUUUGCGAUGUUUGUUUAAAGCAAACUAGAAAGUGGCCCAGUUUUCUUUAAGAGAAGGGAUUUUAAAGUCAGUGCUUGUAGGAAUGUUGAGAUUUGGUAUGGUACAUAUCACAAAUACCGUAGUUCAUAUGGUGGAGAAAGUUUUAAAAGACAACAAACAAACAACAGCAACUUCCAGCUCUUGAAGAUAGGGAACUUCCUAAAAGAUGUGUGGUAGUGCUGCCCAUACUGUAAUGAUCUCAACCAGCUGGUUUCAGGGUAGUGACAUUUCAUGAAGAGGUUUUAUCUUUGGUAGAUGCAAGGUACUUACACAUAACAUACCACUAGAGGGCGCAUUUAACUAAAACUUUUCUUUUUAGUGGUAUAUUGCAUUUUAAACUGUAGGUCGUUCAUUCUUGGAAGCAAAGGAACAUACCGAUUUCUUUUUGUAGCGGUAUGUCCAAUAAAGAUUAGUAGUUGAGCAAAUAGGGCGUAGAAUAAGUCCUUUGGAAUUCGGAGGAAACUAUUGCUACUAAUAGCUAACUUUACUGAACAUUUUAUAGGUGCCAGCAGUAUGCUUAAUGGUUUGCAUUCGUUACCUAAUUAGUCCACUCAGUAUUCUGUGAGGUUGGUACUAUUAUUUUCUCCAUUUUGCAAUGAGGGAAUAAAUUCACAGAGCUGACGUAACUUAUCCAAGGUCAGACAGCUAAUAAGAGGUAGAGUCAGGAUUUGAACCAAGAUCUCAAUCCAAACCUGUGUGCUCUGCUACUUUGAAAUACUGCAGAGGAUUGUUUGUCUACUUGAUCCACUUUAAAACACUUUACUAAGUUAUCCUUGCCCAAAUUCGAUUUUUUUUUUUUGGAAAGUAUUUACUUUUACAGUUCAAGGGAUUAUGUUUGUAUUCAGUUUUCCCAUCUACUUAUUGAAAUACUGUAAAUGUAUUUUUUAUAACAAUAUUAUCAGGAAGGUAAAUGUUAAAUAAGGAAUUCUGGUCGUCUUCUCAAUUUUCCUGCUGCUGUUUCUUUUCCAGUCCUCAAAUUGCUGAUUUAUAGCUUGAUUCACUGGCAGAGACAGUGGAGUGUGCUUAUUCCAUAUUACCAGGAAUUGAAACCACUACCAUUAGAAUUUUAAAUCUUCAUUCUUGCCCAGAUUCUCUCUGAAUAUUAGGCGCUUGGCCACCCUAGAUGAAGUGACCAAUAGGUGAUGAGGACUAGAAGUGUCCAAGGCCCAGCCUGGGUGGACCAUCCCUCUAACUGACUCACACAUUAGAGUGAACAGCCUCCAGGCAGCCAGUUUACCUAUAGAGCAAUUUGGAACGGAGAACAGUGAAUCUGGAAAGGAAGGCUGGGAUGAGAUUUUGCCAAAUUAAAGUGUUUUUAAAUGUGAAAUUAUAGUGUUCAAACUUUAUCCAUUAGAGCUUAAGCAAUGAACAACUGUGGAUAGUGUUUUAGAUCAUACAGGAGAUCCCAUAAAAUAGAUCUGGAGAAGAGGAUUGUGUGGAAAACUGUACCUAAUGCAUUCUCCGGGCAGUUAUUGAACUUUUUUAUAGUAUGCAGAAAAAUACAGCAGAAGAGAGAGGAAAAAAAUUAAUGACCCUGCUGUUGGAAAUAAAAAUAAGAUCCAGACCAGUGACAUUCUGACAUCUUAAAAACCUGUCAGUGAUAUUUUUAGCUGCUUUAGGAUCCUUACAAUAAGGCCCAUGAGUAAUAGGAUUGUGAGGGUUUUUUUCUUUAUACAUAAUUUUACAGAUAUUCUUUAAUGGGUGUGUAUUACAUUUAGAAUCAUUAUUAAAGAGUUAUUUUUAAUCCAUGGGAGUUUUGACACAGCACAUGAGAAUUUCUAAUUAUAGACUCAUAGAAAUACAUACCUCUUAAAACCCUAUCUUCUUGUUUUACAGAUCAAUAAAUUAAGUUUCAGAGAAGUUAAGUGAUUGCCAUAGAACACAAUGCUAGUGACUGAAUUUUGUUAACUAACAUGCUUUCAUUUGCAUUGUUGGUUUUCUCAGUAACAAAAUUACAAGCAAUACUGCUUUAUUUCAGAAGUGAAAGAAAAUCUAUUGGAAGUGUGGAGCAAGAGAAACCUAUUAGUGGAAGUUACUUGAGGUUCCUAGGCAAUAAGGAAUAGGAAUAAUAUAAAGUUUGUGUUACCCUCUGAAAAAGCUUGAAUCUCUUUCAUCUUCUUUGCUUAAACGUGAUAAAGAAUAGUGUUGGAACACUAAUCACAAAAAUGAUGUAUCCUUCUGACUCAUCUUACCAUCUUGUUGUAUUUCUCAAAUUUGAGUUCCUAAUCAUGUGUUUCGGUGGUUAGGAUGUUAAGUGCUUCAAAUGAAUACUUAAACCUAAAUUACAAACAAGUGGCAAGAUUUGCAAGCUCUCCUUUAUUCUCUGAAAUGCGUACUUCCUCCUCCUUAUGUCUGAGGAAAUCAUACCAGAUACGGGCCUUAGACUGUCCAUUCCAAGGAACAAUGAGAGGUCUUGCAGUUACAAAUGGAAUUCUGUAAAAUAGGAUAGGUGAGGAAAAAGCACUUUUUGAUGUCUACUAUUUGCCAGUACCUUAAGUGCUAAAUAUAUACAAAUGACAGAGAGGUCCCUGCCCUUAAGCAGCCAAGAGCCUGUGAGAGUAAGACAGAUUGCUAAACCACUAAUAAGCUGAUGUUAUAAUUAGUGAGGGAAUUAUGGUGAUAUAGAGAUUACAGAUAAAAUAUUUCUUCCUGGGAAGUUUUAAGAAAAACUUCACAGUAGAAUGUGUUGCAGACAACUGGAGAGAGGGAUCAGGGAGGUGAGGAGGAGGAGUCAGUAAAAAAUAAAUACAUGUACUCGAUCUAAAAUCCUCUCCAAUAAGCUGAAAUGCUUUUGCAGAUAAGACUGACACACGCUGACAUAUACACAAAAAAGAGAUAAAAAUUUAUGCUAGUACUUCAUAAAAGGUCAAAGUGAACAUAACCAAGUGGCAAAAAUAUUUCGUACUGAUUUAGUAACUACUAUAUAAAAUAAUCUACCAGUAAGUCUGGGUAAAAACAGUACAGUAAUUAAUGAUUUCAGAUGAACUAAUUUAAGAGGACCACAUACGAGGAAAAACAUAACCUGCCCAAAACUAUGGCAUAGCAAAUAAAUGAUCAUAGGAAAAGAGGUCCCACAAAUAUUUAAGAAACAUUUAUGGACCAAGAAGAUGUAGAAAGUCACAUUUACAUAUAUUCCGGAAGAUGUGAGAGUCUAAUGGUGAGCUCUAUGAAGAUGAAUUGGACACAGUUCAUACCCCCAGAGGAAUCUGGUAAAGAAGACAAACAGGGCCAGGCGCGGUGGCUCACUUCUUUAAUCCCAGCACUUUGGGAGGACGAGGCAGGCGGAUCACCUGAGGUCAGGAGUUCGAGACCAGCCUGGACAACAUGAUGAAACCUCGUCUCUAGUAAAAAUACAAAAAAAAAAAAAAAAAAAAAAGCCAAGCGUGGAGGCAGGCACCUGUAAUCCCAGCUACUCAGGAGGCUGAGGCAGGAGAAUCGCUUGAAUCUCGGAGGCAGAGGUUGCAGUGAGCUGAGAUCGCUCCAUUGCACUCUAGCCUGGGUGACAAGAAUGAAACUUUGUCUCAAAAAAAAAAAAACAGAUUUUAAAUUCCUCAAGGAGCAAAUGAAGGAAGGCACUUGUGUAGUUUUGCCCAGGGAAGCUUUAUAUGGAAGUCACCAGCAAGUUUUCAGAGAGGAAGAUUAGCUACACUGAGUGUAUGUGGCUUUUAGAUCUCUAAACAGUAUGUCUUGGAGAAGUACAGCAAACCAGAUAGAGAUAUAUAUAUAUAAUAGAUACAUAUAAUUAUAUAUCUAUUAUAUAUAACCAAUAUUAUAUAUAA
rnacentral:lncRNA from 1 species